UAAUACGUAGGUGGCAAGCGUUGUCCGGAUUUAUUGGGCGUAAAGCGCGCGCAGGCGGUCCUUUAAGUCUGAUGUGAAAUCUUGCGGCUCAACCGCAAGCGGUCAUUGGAAACUGGGGGACUUGAGUGCAGAAGAGGAGAGCGGAAUUCCACGUGUAGCGGUGAAAUGCGUAGAGAUGUGGAGGAACACCAGUGGCGAAGGCGGCUUUCUGGUCUGUAACUGACGCUGAGGCGCGAAAGCGUGGGGAGCAAACAGGAUUAGAUACCCUGGUAGUCCACGCCGUAAACGAUGAGUGCUAAGUGUUGGAGGGUUUCCGCCCUUCAGUGCUGCAGCUAACGCAUUAAGCACUCCGCCUGGGGAGUACGGUCGCAAGACUGAA
rnacentral:rRNA from 1 species